AAUAGAUACCCGGGUAGUCCCAGCUGUAAACGAUGCAGACUCGGUGAUGAAUUGGCUUAUUGCUAAUUCAGUGCCGCAGGGAAGUCGUUAAGUUUGCCGCCUGGGGAGCACGGUCGCAAGACUGAAACUUAAAGGAAUUGGCGGGGGGAGCACCACAAGGGGUGAAGCCUGCGGUUCAAUUGGAGUCAACGCCGGAAAUCUUACCGGGGGCGACAGCAGAGUGAAGGUCAAGCUGAAGACUUUACCAGACAAGCUGAGAGGAGGUGCAUGGCCGUCGCCAGCUCGUGCCGUGAGGUGUCCUGUUAAGUCAGGUAACGAGCGAGAUCCCUGCCUCUAGUUGCUACCAUUAUUCUCAGGAGUAGUGGAGCUAAUUAGAGGGACCGCCGUCGCUGAGACGGAGGAAGGUGGGGGCUACGGCAGGUCAGUAUGCCCCGAAAUCCUCGGGCCACACGCGGGCUGCAAUGGUAAGGACAAUGAGUUUCGAUUCCGAAAGGAGGAGGCAAUCUCUAAACCUUACCACAGUUAUGAUUGGA
rnacentral:rRNA from 1 species